UUGAUCCUGGCUCAGAUUGAACGCUGGCGGCAGGCUUAACACAUGCAAGUCGAGCGGGGGAAGGUAGCUUGCUACUGGACCUAGCGGCGGACGGGUGAGUAAUGCUUAGGAAUCUGCCUAUUAGUGGGGGACAACAUUCCGAAAGGAAUGCUAAUACCGCAUACGUCCUACGGGAGAAAGCAGGGGACCUUCGGGCCUUGCGCUAAUAGAUGAGCCUAAGUCGGAUUAGCUAGUUGGUGGGGUAAAGGCCUACCAAGGCGACGAUCUGUAGCGGGUCUGAGAGGAUGAUCCGCCACACUGGGACUGAGACACGGCCCAGACUCCUACGGGAGGCAGCAGUGGGGAAUAUUGGACAAUGGGGGGAACCCUGAUCCAGCCAUGCCGCGUGUGUGAAGAAGGCCUUAUGGUUGUAAAGCACUUUAAGCGAGGAGGAGGCUACUAGUAUUAAUACUACUGGAUAGUGGACGUUACUCGCAGAAUAAGCACCGGCUAACUCUGUGCCAGC
rnacentral:rRNA from 1 species